GAUGUGGAUCCAUUAGAUACCCUGGUAGUCCAUGCCGUAAACGAUGUCUACUAGCCGUUGGGGCCUUUGAGGCUUUAGUGGCGCAGCUAACGCGAUAAGUAGACCGCCUGGGGAGUACGGUCGCAAGACUAAAACUCAAAUGAAUUGACGGGGGCCCGCACAAGCGGUGGAGCAUGUGGUUUAAUUCGAUGCAACGCGAAGAACCUUACCUGGUCUUGACAUAGUAAGAACUUUCCAGAGAUGGAUUGGUGCCUUCGGGAACUUACAUACAGGUGCUGCAUGGCUGUCGUCAGCUCGUGUCGUGAGAUGUUGGGUUAAGUCCCGCAACGAGCGCAACCCUUUUCCUUAUUUGCCAGCACUUCGGGUGGGAACUUUAAGGAUACUGCCAGUGACAAACUGGAGGAAGGCGGGGACGACGUCAAGUCAUCAUGGCCCUUACGACCAGGGCUACACACGUGCUACAAUGGUCGGUACAAAGGGUUGCUACCUAGCGAUAGGAUGCUAAUCUCAAAAAGCCGAUCGUAGUCCGGAUUGGAGUCUGCAACUCGACUCCAUG
rnacentral:rRNA from 1 species